rnacentral:rRNA from 1 species
UUUAUGGAGAGUUUGAUCCUGGCUCAGGAUGAACGCUGGCGGCGUGCCUAAUACAUGCAAGUCGAGCGAACGGACGAGAAGCUUGCUUCUCUGAUGUUAGCGGCGGACGGGUGAGUAACACGUGGAUAACCUACCUAUAAGACUGGGAUAACUUCGGGAAACCGUAGC